rnacentral:misc_RNA from 1 species
GCAAAUCCUGAGCAACAAUGUAGCAAAGACCUACCAUAGUUGUGCCUUUUGAGUUAAUAUAUAUAUGUCAAAACUGUUGUUUGAUAAUUGCCUUCAACCUGCUUAGGAAUUAUUAGCUGGUAUAUAGAUGUUACAGUCAGUUGUAGCUCGUCUUGUCAAAUGCCAGAUUGAUCUUAUCUUUGCUUCUCAGCCAAACCAAGGCUUCCAAGCUCCUUUGCGUGGAGGCUGGUCUACCC